rnacentral:tRNA from 1 species
GGCAAGAUGGCCGAGUGGUUAAGGCGUGACGUUUAGGCCGUCAUGCGAAAGCGCGUGGGUUCGAAUCCCACUCUUGUCA